rnacentral:lncRNA from 1 species
AUCCUUGGAGCGAGCUGAGAGCUCGAGGUGAGCUGGGCUCGCGGUCGCCCCUCUCGCGCGCCCUCUUUAAGAACCACGGCGUCCAACCUCCCUGGAAAUGGGGGGAACAUGGCCGAGGCGCGUGGCGAGGCCGCCUCGUGGAGGCCCCGGAGCGGCAUCCUCAGCGCCCCAGCGAUCCGGUGCCCAUUAGUACAGAACCUGCUAAGGCCAUCAAACCUAUUGAUCGGAAGUCAGUCCAUCAGAUUUGCUCUGGGCCGGUGGUACCGAGUCUAAGCACUGCGGUGAAGGAGUUAGUAGAAAACAGUCUGGAUGCUGGUGCCACUAAUAUUGAUCUAAAGCUUAAGGACUAUGGAGUGGAUCUCAUUGAAGUUUCAGGCAAUGGAUGUGGGGUAGAAGAAGAAAACUUCGAAGGCUUAACUCUGAAACAUCACACAUCUAAGAUUCAAGAGUUUGCCGACCUACCUCAGGUUGAAACUUUUGGCUUUCGGGGGGAAGCUCUGAGCUCACUUUGUGCACUGAGGACUCCUAGAAGUACCCCACCCCACCCCUGCUCCUUGGAGGACAACGUGAUCACUGUAUUCAGCUCUGUCAAGAAUGGUCCAGGUUCUUCUAGAUGAUCUGCACAAAUGGCUCCUCUCCUCCUUCCUGAUGUCUGCCAUUAGCACUGGAAUAAAGUUCCUGCUGAAAAUCCA